rnacentral:tRNA from 1 species
GAGAGAUGGCUCAGUGGUUAAGAGCACUUGACUGCUCUUCUAGAGGUUCUGAGUUCAAUUCCCAGCAAUCAUGCG